UACGAAGGGGGCUAGCGUUGUUCGGAUUUACUGGGCGUAAAGCGCACGUAGGCGGAUCUUUAAGUCAGAGGUGAAAUCCCAAGGCUCAACCUUGGAACUGCCUUUGAUACUGGGGAUCUCGAGUCCGGGAGAGGUGAGUGGAACUGCGAGUGUAGAGGUGAAAUUCGUAGAUAUUCGCAAGAACACCAGUGGCGAAAGGCGGCUCACUGGCCCGGAACUGACGCUGAGGUGCGAAAGCGUGGGGAGCAAACAGG
rnacentral:rRNA from 1 species